rnacentral:rRNA from 1 species
UACGGAGGAUGCGAGCGUUAUCCGGAUUUAUUGGGUUUAAAGGGUGCGCAGGCGGUCUGUUAAGUCAGCGGUCAAAGCCCGGGGCUCAACCCCGGCCCGCCGUUGAAACUGGCAGUCUCGAGUUGGAGAGAAGUAAGCGGAAUGCGUGGUGUAGCGGUGAAAUGCAUAGAUAUCACGCAGAACGCCGAUUGCGAAGGCAGCUUACCGGCGCUCAACUGACGCUGAGGCACGAAAGUGCGGGUAUCGAACAGG